AUUGAACGCUGGCGGCAGGCCUAACACAUGCAAGUCGAGCGGAUGAGAGGAGCUUGCUCCUUGAUUCAGCGGCGGACGGGUGAGUAAUGCCUAGGAAUCUGCCUGGUAGUGGGGGACAACGUUUCGAAAGGAACGCUAAUACCGCAUACGUCCUACGGGAGAAAGCAGGGGACCUUCGGGCCUUGCGCUAUCAGAUGAGCCUAGGUCGGAUUAGCUAGUAGGUGGGGUAAUGGCCCACCUAGGCGACGAUCCGUAACUGGUCUGAGAGGAUGAUCAGUCACACUGGAACUGAGACACGGUCCAGACUCCUACGGGAGGCAGCAGUGGGGAAUAUUGGACAAUGGGCGAAAGCCUGAUCCAGCCAUGCCGCGUGUGUGAAGAAGGUCUUCGGAUUGUAAAGCACUUUAAGUUGGGAGGAAGGGCAGUUAGUUAAUACCUGACUGUUUUGACGUUACCAACAGAAUAAGCACCGGCUAACUCUGUGCCAGCCGCCGCGGUAA
rnacentral:rRNA from 1 species